UACGUAGGGGGCGAGCGUUGUCCGGAUUUAUUGGGCGUAAAGAGCUCGUAGGCGGCUUGGCAAGUCGGGUGUGAAACCUCCAGGCUCAACCUGGAGACGCCACUCGAUACUGCUAUGGCUAGAGUCCGGUAGGGGACCACGGAAUUCCUGGUGUAGCGGUGAAAUGCGCAGAUAUCAGGAGGAACACCAGAGGCGAAGGCGGCCUGCUGGGCUGCACCUGACGCUGAACCGCGAAAGCCAGGGGAGCGAACGGG
rnacentral:rRNA from 1 species